rnacentral:rRNA from 1 species
UACGGGGGGAGCAAGCGUUGUUCGGAUUUACUGGGCGUAAAGGGCGCGUAGGCGGCGCAACAAGUCACUUGUGAAAUCUCCGGGCUUAACUCGGAACGGUCAAGUGAUACUGUCGGACUAGAGUACAGAAGGGGCAACUGGAAUUCUCGGUGUAACGGUGAAAUGCGUAGAUAUCGAGAGGAACACCUGCGGCGAAGGCGGGUUGCUGGGCUGAUACUGACGCUGAGGCGCGAAAGCCAGGGGAGCGAACGGG